GCAGAAGAGCGGUUCAGGAGAAAGGCAAAGAGUUUGUGUAUGUACUGCGCAGAUCCAUCCCAUACUGUCUCAGACUGUCCCAUCCUCUCAAGGAAUAAGAAACUGGGAUCACAAAAGGAUACACACUGAAGCCAUAAUUGACUCAGGAGCUUUCGGGAACUUCAUUGAUUCUGAAAUUGUAUCCACCAAUAAAAUUCCACUUGUGUUGAAAACAAAA